rnacentral:lncRNA from 1 species
GAGCAGAGGACUGUUAGAAGUUCCUGAAACGGUGUGGUCCAAAGGUCCCUGGUUCAACUCCACCUCCAGCUCCAAACUCCAGAUUUCAUUGGUGUAUGCACUAUUCAACCUUUUUCAUUGACCAUGUGGGUCCAAUAGUUAUGUUGGAAAAGUUUGUCAUCUCAGGCACUAUGUUUUCUGCGGAUGUGUCUAUAAGCACCUUCAUAGCUCAGUUGGUAGAGCAGAGGACUGUAAGAAGUUCCUGAAAAGCUGUGGUCCAAAGGUCGCUGGUUCAACUCCAGCUCCAAACACCAGAUUACAUUGGUGUAUGCACUGUUCAAACUCUUUCAUUGACCAAGUAGCUGUAAUUGUUGUGUUGGCAAAGUGUGUCGUCUCAGCCACUAUGUUUUCUGCGGUUGUGUCUAUAAGCUCCUUCAUAGCUCAGUUGGUAGAGCAGAGAACUGUAUGAAGUUCCUCAAGCACUGUGGUCCAAAGGUCGCUGGUUCAACUCCAGCUCCAAACACCAGAUUACAUUUGUCUAUGCACUCUUCAACCUUUAUAAUUGACCAUGUGGGUCCAAUAGUUAUGUUGGCAAAGUGUGUCGUCUCAGCCACUAUGUAUUCUGCGGUUAUGUCUAUAUGCACGUUCAAAGCUCAGUUGGUAGAGCAGAGGACUGUAAGAAGUUCCUCAAAUGCCUUGCUCCAAAUGUUGCUGGUUCAACUCCAGCUCCAAACACCAGAUUACAUUGGUGUAUGCACUGUUCAAACUCUUUCAUUUACCAUGUGUGUCCAAUAAUUAUGUUGGCAAAGUGUGUCGUCUCAGCCACUAUGUUUUCUGCGGUUGUGUCUAAAAGCACCUUCAUAGCUCAGUUGGUAGAGCAGAGGACUGUAAGAAUUUCCUGAAACGCUGUGGUCCAAAGGUCGCUGGUUCAACUCCAGCUCCAAACACCAGAUUUCAUUUGUGUAUGCACUGUUCAACCUUUUUUAUUGACCAUGUAGCUGUUAUUCUCGUGUUGGCAAAGUGAGUCGUCUCAGCCACUAUGUUUUCUGCGGUUGUGUCUAUAAGCACCUUCAUAGCUCAGUUGGUCAAGCAGAGGACUGUAAGAAGUUCCUCAAACGCUGUGGUCCAAAGGUCGCUGGUUCAACUCCAGCUCCAAACACCAGAUUUCAUUGGUGUAUGCACUGUUCAACCUUUAUCAUUGACCAUGUGGCUCCAAUACUUAUUUUGGCAAAGUUUGUCGUCUCAGCCACUAUGUUUUCUGCGGUUGUGUCUAUAAGCACCUUCAUAGCUCAGUUCGUAGAGCAGAGCACUGUAAGAAGUUCCUGAAACGCUGUGGUCCAAGGGUUGCUGGUUCAACUCCAGCUCCAAGCACCAGAUUUCAUUUGUGUAUGCACUGUUCAACCUUUUUCAUUGACCAUGUAGCUUUAAUUGUUGUGUUGGCAAAGUGUGUAGUCUCAGCCACUAUGUUUUCUGCGGUUGUGUCUAUAAGCACCUUCAUAGCUCAGUUGGUAGAGCAGAGGAUUGUAGUAAGUUCCUCAUAUGAAGCGCUGUCAUUCCAAGGUCGCUGGUCCAACUCCCGCUUGAAGCACCUUCAUUUCGUUGGUGUGAGCAAUGUUCUGGGUCUAAUCACAUUGAAAUAAUGCCAAGCCUUGUGUUCAUCUGUCAGCUCCUCCAAAAUGUAAAGAUAACUCCUACUUUAUUUUCCAACCAUCAAUUUUUUCUUCACCCAGCCUAAAAGUCCUGAUUAUCAGUUCUGGGUCCCUGGCAAUGACUGUUGGGUACAAACUGUGAAGCUCUGCUCUGAAGGUAGGGCUGGGCUUUUCAUUGACCAUGUGGGUGGAUUAGUUGUGUGGGCAAAGUGUGCCAUCUGAGCCACUAUGUUUUCUGCAGUUGUGAGUAGACAGCACCUUGAUAGCUCAGUUGGUAGAGCAGAGGACUGUAGGAAGUUCCUCAUAUCAAGUGCUGUCAUUCAAAGGUCGCUGCUUCAACUCCAGCUCGAAGCACCUACAUUUUGUUGGUGUUAGCAAUGUUCUGGGUCUAAUCACAUUGAAAUAAUUCCAAGCCUUGUCUUCAUCUGUCAGCUCCUCCAAAAUGUAAAAACCAAGUGUGUUGUCUCAGCCACUAUGUGCAGAGCAAGGAAAAAAGUUUGCUACAAGUAAUUUGUACUGGUUUAUCUGAGAAGUUUCAUGCUCCAUUUCCCAUUUUAUUAGCUUGACGUGCAUUUUUUUUUUUAUCCUGUCUGUAUUUUGCCAUAGCAAGAUUACAUAAAUUUCUGCUGACUCACAGAGUUACUAAAGGUUCUAAUUGUUGGUAACGGUAAAUUCACAAGCCCUGGUUUAUUUUCAAAGGUUCCGAGCAGAGAUGGUUUUCACCCUCUUGUGGUGCAAACCUUAGAGAUGAUAUUGUUGUAGGUGUCAGAUUCAUGGACCCUGCUGAUAUGCUCUGCAGUCCCGCCCUGGUCUUACUGAGUGUGUUGGUUUUUGCUGGUCCAUACUAUACGGCUCAGUUACUCACUUAGAGGCCUGAAUCAGCUGAAUUAUAGUGCUGUUGGACUCUCUCCCACAUUCCUCCAGUCUGACUCACAAAAGAAGGGGCCGGCCUGCUUCCCUUGUGAUAAGUACCAAAUUUAAUUUCUUCACUGCUCAUUUAGCUUAAUGGGGUCCCACAUACUCAGAGCGUUACGGCAAGCAACAACAAGAAGCUGAUCUGUCCGUCUCUAGAAACGUUUCAAUAAUAAAUGAAAUGUCACAGAUGAUUAGAGUUCCCGGUUGAUUUCAUCUCAUGCCCUUCGGGUGAUCUAUUGUUUGAAUGUGUGUUUGGACUUGGUGACCACAUACGAAAUCCCCUUAGUUGCCAUGUUUUCUGAGCUUGUUUUAUAAACCCCUAAUUUUUGUUUAUCUUUUAUUUUUGUGGGAAACUUUUUUGCUUCAUCAGGCACAAAAAAUAACUUGUUUUGCUGCAACAAGUUAUCUACUCAUGUGAAUAAGUUAUUAUUUGGUGCACAUACAGUUAUUAUCUUGUGCACACAACCUGUAGUAACCUGUUCCAAUAAGACAUCUGUUCUGUGUGUGCAAAAACACCUAAUUUUAUCACAAGAUAGAAUAUUUUACACACAUCUUUUGGGAACAUGUCAAUAUCUUGUGCACACAACGUACAAGAUAAAAGCGCUGCACAGAAUAAUGUUUGUCAUAAUGCUUGUUUGCUUGUGUGCACGUGCUAGUAUCGGUGUGAACAAUUUUGGACUGGAACAAAUUAUUACCUUGUGUACAGGACAACAGCUUGUUGCAUCACCAUUUAGUUUAAAGCACUGCUGUUGGGUUUAAAACACUGUAACAUGACUGUGGUCUUGUUGUUGCACAUCUGUGAGUAAAUCAAAAUCAGUAAGAGGGUCUAAAUAAUUAUCAUGAAGGUGGAAACUGCUACUCUGCUGCUAAGUGUCUAGCCAAAUGCACUGAAAGGCUUAGUGUGUGAGUGUGUGAAAUGCUGCUGGGUGAUAUGUCUGCUUGCCUGGAACACUUAAUCUCGUAGGAGGAAUAAAAGGCUUCCUGUUCCCUGGUGGGUUAGUUCUCCAGAGGUGUUUGUCUGCAGAUUGCAUGCACAGGGUAGCAGACCAUGAAUAAAAAAAGUCCUGUGAAUUGUUGUCAGCACUUUUGUUGGAAUAAGCUUUACAGCAUUAUCAAAGCAGUCUGAUUAUACACAGCUGCAAAUGGAGCUUUUCAAAUUUAGUGAUAACCUGCAAUUCAGGAGAAAAAAGUUCAGUGUAUCAGGAAGGUGAACAUAUGUCAAAAACAGGAACAGGUACUUGCCAGAAAGUGAAAAAUAAAACCGUACCGUAAUCUUUUAACAUUGUGUUUCUGACAGUUAAUAAUUUUUUGAGGCAACUUACUACCUUAGAAUUAUGUUUUAAAAAGUAUCUGACAGCCAAAAGUGAGUUAUUUUAAUUGUCUUAUUCUUGUGCUGGUCCUCUGUUACUGCCCUCAAAAGCUUUUUUAUGCUUGUGGUUCUCUGUCGUUAGGCACUUUUAUUAUUUCACACUUUUCUCUCACCUUUGCAAAAGCAACAGGUGUAGUUUUAGGAGUGACUGAGAAAUCUGUUUGUAAUCUAAACUGAAAUGUUCACCUUUGAGACUUCAAAUAUUUGGUCAACUGAAUCCAAAAUAUAUGUCACACAUUAUUGUUCAACUAUUUCAGUUAUCUAAGAAAGUUUUAGCUACACUGAAUCUAAAAAGUGUUUUACAUAUUUUACAUACAAAACUAAUUUUGUGUUCACUUUAUGCAGAAUACAACAUCUUUAUUUUGGAAACACCUUAAAACUUAACUGGUUUUGUAUCAUAAGCUUCAAGCUGAAAUGUGAUAGAGUGCUGAUAUGAACCCUCUUAUAAACACACAAUUUACAUACACACAAAUACAUAACAUUAUACCAAAUGACAGGGAUAAACUGAGCAAAGUUAAAUACAGUUACAGAUGAAAGACCCGGGUAUGAGGGGAGGGAAAGAUAAAAGCUAAGAGAUAUAACAUAUGUAAGAAGUAUAUUAAAAAAAUGACUAAUUAUAAAGGUGAAAAACAUGAAUUUGUGAAUCAAAUUCUGCCUUGUCUUUUUAAACUGAGCAGCCAGAGGUUGUCUUCAGUCUAAUAGUAGAGUAGAGUCAAGCUAACUAUGUUACAAUAAAUCACUUCCUGCUGUCGCCGUUGUUUCUGAUAUUAAAUUAAAUUAGAAAAAAAAAAAAUUGCGUUAGAGGGCCAUGGAAGGAACUCUUUAUAGCAUGUCUUAGUUGGAUUUGGGUUACAUUGACCUCUACCUGAUCCACGAGCCUGGCACUGAGGGUCUCAAUGCCACUGACCCCUGCAACCCAGGUAAAGAACAGAGAGCUUAGAUAAAAGCAGUUACCCUAAGUCUCUGGCUUGAUGUUUCCUUUCUCCAAGCCAACUUCUUUCUUACUUAAUAUUUGCUCUGAGUCGCAAAGUGUAAACAGGACCUAUUAGAGGGCACAAGUGAGGAGACAUGGAAGCAGUCUCUUACGCUGACAUGCCCUCUUGAUGGAUGUGAUGGUGUAAUGCACUAUUUUGUAAUACCGGCUAUCUUGUCUGUUUACUUGCCCCCUAUUUUACUCUUUCUCUACAAUUCCUUUGUAUUUAUUCAGGUUAGGGUGACCCUGCGUGUGCUUUCCAACUGUCUGAAUGGUCUGUCUGCUCGAUUGUCUGUCUGUAUUGGUUCUUGAACGCUGAUGUGAUCUAGUGCACUUUGCCCAAGACAAAUUUCCCUCGGGACGAUAAAGUAUAUCUCAUCUCAUCACAUCUCAUAUCAUGACAAAAAUGCUGAAGUUCACUGGUCAGACCCAUUAUUAUUGCUCCAUUUAUUCAGAGUUUUAUACUGGAAUGAUGACAGAUUAUGGAUAAAACUCU